rnacentral:rRNA from 1 species
GAGUUUGAUCCUGGCUCAGGAUGAACGCUAGCGGCAGGCUUAACACAUGCAAGUCGAGGGGUAACGGGGAAGCUUGCUUCCGCCGACGACCGGCGCACGGGUGCGUAACGCGUAUACAAUCUACCUUAUACUGGGGUAUAGCCUUUAGAAAUGAAGAUUAACCCCCCAUAGUCUCUUAGAGUGGCAUCACUUCUAGAGUAAAGGUUACGGUAUAAGAUGAGUAUGCGUUCUAUUAGUUUGUUGGUGUGGUAACGGCACACCAAGACUACGAUAGAUAGGGGCCCUGAGAGGGGGAUCCCCCACACUGGUACUGAGACACGGACCAGACUCCUACGGGAGGCAGCAGUGAGGAAUAUUGGACAAUGGAGGCAACUCUGAUCCAGCCAUGCCGCGUGCAGGAAGACUGCCCUAUGGGUUGUAAACUGCUUUUAUACAGGAAGAAACACCUCUACGUGUAGAGGCUUGACGGUACUGUAAGAAUAAGGAUCGGCUAACUCCGUGCCAGCAGCCGCGGUAAUACGGAGGAUCCAAGCGUUAUCCGGAAUCAUUGGGUUUAAAGGGUCCGUAGGUGGAUAAUUAAGUCAGAGGUGAAAUCUUGCAGCUCAACUGUAAAAUUGCCUUUGAAACUGGUUAUCUUGAGUUAUUAUGAAGUAGUUAGAAUAUGUAGUGUAGCGGUGAAAUGCAUAGAUAUUACAUAGAAUACCAAUUGCGAAGGCAGAUUACUAAUAAUCAACUGACACUGAUGGACGAAAGCGUGGGUAGCGAACAGGAUUAGAUACCCUGGUAGUCCACGCCGUAAACGAUGGUUACUAGCUGUUUGGACUUCGGUCUGAGUGGCUAAGCGAAAGUGAUAAGUAACCCACCUGGGGAGUACGUUCGCAAGAAUGAAACUCAAAGGAAUUGACGGGGGCCCGCACAAGCGGUGGAGCAUGUGGUUUAA